rnacentral:rRNA from 1 species
GACGAACGCUGGCGGCGUGCUUAACACAUGCAAGUCGAACGAUGAAGCUAGAGCUUGCUCUGGUGGAUUAGUGGCGAACGGGUGAGUAACACGUGAGAAACCUGCCCCGAACUCUGGGAUAACUGCUGGAAACGGUAGCUAAUACCGGAUAUGACCAAUGAAGGCAUCUUCUGUUGGUGGAAAGAAUUUCGGUUCGGGAUGGACUCGCGGCCUAUCAGCUUGUUGGUGAGGUAACGGCUCACCAAGGCGGCGACGGGUAGCCGGCCUGAGAGGGUGACCGGCCACACUGGGACUGAGACACGGCCCAGACUCCUACGGGAGGCAGCAGUGGGGAAUAUUGCACAAUGGGCGCAAGCCUGAUGCAGCAACGCCGCGUGAGGGAUGACGGCCUUCGGGUUGUAAACCUCUUUUAGUAGGGAAGAAGCGAAAGUGACGGUACCUGCAGAAAAAGCACCGGCUAACUACGUGCCAGCCGCCGCCGUAA